AGUGAACGCUGGCGGUAGGCCUAACACAUGCAAGUCGAACGGCAGCACAGGAGAGCUUGCUCUCUGGGUGGCGAGUGGCGGACGGGUGAGGAAUACAUCGGAAUCUACUCUGUCGUGGGGGAUAACGUAGGGAAACUUACGCUAAUACCGCAUACGACCUACGGGUGAAAGCAGGGGACCUUCGGGCCUUGCGCGAUUGAAUGAGCCGAUGUCGGAUUAGCUAGUUGGCGGGGUAAAGGCCCACCAAGGCGACGAUCCGUAGCUGGUCUGAGAGGAUGAUCAGCCACACUGGAACGGAGACACGGUCCAGACUCCUACGGGAGGCAGCAGUGGGGAAUAUUGGACAAUGGGCGCAAGCCUGAUCCAGCCAUACCGCGUGGGUGAAGAAGGCCUUCGGGUUGUAAUGCCCUUUUGUUGGGAAAGAAAUCCAUCUGGUUAAUACCCGGAUGGGAUGACGGUACCCAAAGAAUAAGCACCGGCUAACUUCGUGCCAGCCGCCGCGGUAA
rnacentral:rRNA from 1 species